UACGUAGGGGGCAAGCGUUGUCCGGAAUCAUUGGGCGUAAAGAGCGCGUAGGCGGUCCGGUAAGUCCGCUGUGAAAGUCAAGGGCUCAACCCUUGAAUGCCGGUGGAUACUGUCGGGCUAGAGUUCGGAAGAGGCAAGUGGAAUUCCUGGUGUAGCGGUGGAAUGCGCAGAUAUCAGGAGGAACACCUAUAGCGAAGGCAGCUUGCUGGGACGACACUGACGCUGAGGCGCGAAAGCCAGGGGAGCAAACGGG
rnacentral:rRNA from 1 species